rnacentral:rRNA from 1 species
GAUGAACGCUAGCGGCAGGCCUAAUACAUGCAAGUCGAACGGUGAUAGCAAUAUCAUAGUGGCGCACGGGUGCGUAACACGUAUGCAACCUACCUAUUAUUGGGGGAUAGCCUUUGGAAACGGAGAUUAAUACCGCAUAAUACGAUUGACUGGCAUCGGUUGAUUGUUAAAGCUUCGGCGAUAAUAGAUGGGCAUGCGUCCAAUUAGUUAGUUGGUGAGGUAAUGGCUCACCAAGACGAUGAUUGGUAGGGGAUCUGAGAGGAUAAUCCCCCACACUGGCACUGAGAUACGGGCCAGACUCCUACGGGAGGCAGCAGUAGGGAAUAUUGGGCAAUGGAGGGAACUCUGACCCAGCCAUGCCGCGUGCAGGAAGAAGGCGUUAUGCGUUGUAAACUGCUUUUUUAUAGGAAGAAGGAUCUCUUGCGAGAGAAGGUGACGGUACUAUAAGAAUAAGCACCGGCUAACUCCGUGCCAGCCGCCGCUGUAAUAC